CGGGGCGUAGCUUAGCCUGGUAGAGCGCCUGCUUUGGGAGCAGGAGGCCGGGGGUUCGAAUCCCUCCGCCCCGACCA
rnacentral:tRNA from 1 species